rnacentral:rRNA from 1 species
UACGUAGGGCGCAAGCGUUGUCCGGAAUUAUUGGGCGUAAAGAGCUCGUAGGCGGUUCGUCGCGUCGGCUGUGAAAACCCGGAGCUCAACUCCGGGCCUGCAGUCGAUACGGGCGGACUCGAGUUCGGCAGGGGAGACUGGAAUUCCUGGUGUAGCGGUGAAAUGCGUAGAUAUCAGGAGGAACACCGAUGGCGAAGGCAGGUCUCUGGGCCGAUACUGACGCUGAGGAGCGAAAGCGUGGGGAGCGAACAGG